CUUGCAUUUCGAGAAUUGUGACAGGAUAACAACUGGCAAAGAGUGAAUCAAAUAGUUUUAGCUUGCUUUUCCAUGGACCACCAUUCUAAACACCAUGAUGAACAGCUGCCUCCUCUCAAGAAGCAGAUCAAGUUAAUGAAGAAGGAUGGUUCCAAAAAAGAAUCUCACCAAGGUUGAAGGAAGCACCAUCGAGAUGAUUUAUUAGCGAUUCAGCUGAAAAGGAUGCAGAGCAGCAAUCAUUCGCCAAGCUAAGCAUG